GAUCUACAUUGAUAUUGUUUUGUGAUGAUACCAUCUAUCUCUUAAUAUUUGUGCAAAUCAUUCUAGAACAAAUAAUGGACACAAUUCAAUGGAUAUCAAUCAACAAAGAGGUAUACAGACAAUGAGGCAUACAAAGGUAUGUCUAUUGGUAUGUUAUGGAGAUCACGUGUACCAUUCUCCUCCCUUGCCUCAUCAAUGAAAACCACAUAGGCCUCUACAUUAUGGACAAGACUUCACCCUCCCUACACCUCUGAUGAAUGUAUCAGGAAACCUUUUCGAUCACCAUGCACUGCAAAAUCAUUCUGGCUAUGGAUACGGAGAACAUCAACACAUUAACAUCAACAGGCCAGAGGAUAUACCCAUUGGACAUGGAGCUCACAUUUAAAAAUAAGAUUCUGCUUUGCCACUAAAAUCAGAAUAAACACUGACAA